GCGCCAGACUUAACCAGAGACGGUUUUCCUUCGGGGCUGGUGUGAGUGCUGCAUGGUGUCGUCAGCUCGUGCCGUGAGGUGUCGGCUUAAGUGCCAUAACGAGCGCAACCCUUGCCGUCGGUUGCCAUCACUAGAAGGUGGGCACUCCGGUGGGACUGCCAUCGCAAGAUGUGAGGAAGGUGGGGAUGACGUCAAAUCAGCACGGCCCUUACGUCCGGGGCUACACACGUGUUACAAUGGGGGGCACAGCGCGCCGCUACCCGGCGACGGGAUGCGAAUCGUGAAAUCCCCUCUCAGUUCGGACUGGAGUCUGCAACCCGACUCCACGAAGCUGGAUUCGCUAGUAAUCGCGCAUCAGCCAUGGCGCGGUGAAUACGUUCCCGGGCCUUGUACACACCGCCCGUCAAGCCAUGAAAGCCGGGGGUGCCUGAAGUCCGUCACCGCGAGGAUCGGCCUAAGGCAAAACUGGUGAUGGGGCUAAGUCGUAACAAGGUAACCUA
rnacentral:rRNA from 1 species